rnacentral:rRNA from 1 species
GACGAACGCUGGCGGCGUGCUUAACACAUGCAAGUCGAACGAUGAAGCCUAGCUUGCUAGGUGGAUUAGUGGCGAACGGGUGAGUAAUACGUGAGUAACCUACCUUUAACUCUGGGAUAAGCCCGGGAAACUGGGUCUAAUACCGGAUACGACCAAUCUCCGCAUGGGGUGUUGGUGGAAAGCGUUAUGUAGUGGUUAUAGAUGGGCUCACGGCCUAUCAGCUUGUUGGUGAGGUAACGGCUCACCAAGUCGACGACGGGUAGCCGGCCUGAGAGGGUGACCGGCCACACUGGGACUGAGACACGGCCCAGACUCCUACGGGAGGCAGCAGUGGGGAAUAUUGCACAAUGGGCGCAAGCCUGAUGCAGCGACGCCGCGUGAGGGAUGACGGCCUUCGGGUUGUAAACCUCUGUUAGCAGGGAAGAAGAGAGAUUGACGGUACCUGCAGAGAAAGCGCCGGCUAACUACGUG